GUUAGGUAAAAUAUGGACUCAAACGUGUUUCACUUCAUGUUAGGACACGAUAUGCAAGAUAAUUGAAACACAGACUCAAGCGUGUUUCACUCCAUGUUAUGCAAGUUAAGUGAAACACAGACUCAAGCGUGUUUCACUCCAUGAUAUGACAAGUUAUGCAAGUUAAGUGAAACACGGACUCAAGCAUGUUUCGCUCCAUGUUAUGACAAGUUAUGCAAGUUGGGUGAAACACAGACUCAAGCGUGUUUCACUUCAUGUUAAGACUCGAUAUGCAGGAUAAGUGAAACACGAACUCAAGCGUGUUUCACUCCAUGUUAUGACAAGAUAUGCUAGUUAAGUGAAA